rnacentral:rRNA from 1 species
AGUGAACGCUGGCGGUAGGCCUAACACAUGCAAGUCGAACGGCAGCACAGUAAGAGCUUGCUCUUACGGGUGGCGAGUGGCGGACGGGUGAGGAAUACAUCGGAAUCUACUUUUUCGUGGGGGAUAACGUAGGGAAACUUACGCUAAUACCGCAUACGACCUACGGGUGAAAGCAGGGGAUCUUCGGACCUUGCGCGAUUGAAUGAGCCGAUGUCGGAUUAGCUAGUUGGCGAGGUAAAGGCCCACCAAGGCGACGAUCCGUAGCUGGUCUGAGAGGAUGAUCAGCCACACUGGAACUGAGACACGGUCCAGACUCCUACGGGAGGCAGCAGUGGGGAAUAUUGGACAAUGGGCGCAAGCCUGAUCCAGCCAUACCGCGUGGGUGAAGAAGGCCUUCGGGUUGUAAAGCCCUUUUGUUGGGAAAGAAAAGCGGCAGGUUAAUACCCCGCUGUUCUGACGGUACCCAAAGAAUAAGCACCGGCUAACUUCGUG